AGCUUUGAGAACUGAAUUCCAUGGGUUGUGUCAACGUCAGACCUGUGAAAUUCAGUUCCUCAGCU
ensembl:miRNA Mir146 microRNA 146